AAAUUGAAGAGUUUGAUCAUGGCUCAGAUUGAACGCUGGCGGCAGGCCUAACACAUGCAAGUCGGACGGUAACAGGAAGCAGCUUGCUGCUUCGCUGACGAGUGGCGGACGGGUGAGUAAUGUCUGGGAAACUGCCUGAUGGAGGGGGAUAACUACUGGAAACGGUAGCUAAUACCGCAUAACGUCGCAAGACCAAAGGGGGGGGACCUUCGGGCCUCUUGCCAUCGGAUGUGCCCAGAUGGGAUUAGCUUGUUGGUGGGGUAACGGCUCACC
rnacentral:rRNA from 1 species